rnacentral:tRNA from 1 species
CGGGGUGUGGCGCAGUUGGCUAGCGUACUUGCAUGGGGUGCAAGUGGUCGCCCGUUCGAGUCGGGUCACCCCGACCA